rnacentral:tRNA from 1 species
GGGGCAGUAGGGUAGUCUGGUCUAUCCUCGCGGCUUUGGGAGCCGUGGACGGCAGUUCGAAUCUGCCCUGCCCCA